rnacentral:rRNA from 1 species
AACGAACGCUGGCGGCAGGCUUAACACAUGCAAGUCGAGCGCACCCUUCGGGGUGAGCGGCGGACGGGUGAGUAACGCGUGGGAACGUGCCCUCUUCUACGGAAUAGCCUCGGGAAACUGAGAGUAAUGCCGUAUACGCCCGCAAGGGGAAAGAUUUAUCGGAGGAGGAUCGGCCCGCGUUGGAUUAGGUAGUUGGUGGGGUAACGGCCUACCAAGCCGACGAUCCAUAGCUGGUUUGAGAGGAUGAUCAGCCACACUGGGACUGAGACACGGCCCAGACUCCUACGGGAGGCAGCAGUGGGGAAUCUUGGACAAUGGGGGCAACCCUGAUCCAGCCAUGCCGCGUGAUCGAUGAAGGCCUUAGGGUUGUAAAGAUCUUUCAGCUGGGAAGAUAAUGACGGUACCAGCAGAAGAAGCCCCGGCUAACUCCGUG